AACGAACGCUGGCGGCAGGCCUAACACAUGCAAGUCGAGCGAACCCUUCGGGGUUAGCGGCGGACGGGUUGGUAACGCGUGGGAAUAUACCCUUUGGUACGGAAUAGCCUCGGGAAACUGAGAGUAAUACCGUAUGUGCCCUUCGGGGGAAGAUUUAUCGCCAAAGGAUUAGCCCGCGUUGGAUUAGAUAGUUGGUGGGGUAAUGGCCUACCAAGUCUACGAUCCAUAGCUGGUUUGAGAGGAUGAUCAGCAACACUGGGACUGAGACACGGCCCAGACUCCUACGGGAGGCAGCAGUGGGGAAUCUUAGACAAUGGGCGCAAGCCUGAUCUAGCCAUGCCGCGUGGACGACGAAGGCCUUAGGGUUGUAAAGUCCUUUCAGAUGGGAAGAUAAUGACGGUACCAUCAGAAGAAGCCCCGGCUAACUCCGUG
rnacentral:rRNA from 1 species